rnacentral:lncRNA from 1 species
AGGGGCCUCACGGGAGCUGGAUGCUCGGAGCAGCAAGGCGGGCCUGGGGGCCCCUUCCGGUCCCGGGGCUGACGCCUGGCGGCGUCUCCGGGAACCCGCGCCCUUUCAAGCGCCGCUGGCUCCUGUUUCACAGAUGGAGACCCUGAAGCCCCAACAAGCAGCCUCCCCAGCACCUCCCAGUGACUGAAAAAGCUGGCACUGGGCGCCCGUCUCACUCUCCACCCAGCUCCCAGGCUGCCCCACGGGACGUAAGUAGCUCGAUCUAGGCCGCUGACCCCCAGAGACUUGAUGCUGCGCUGCAGACUGCCGCCGCUGCCGGGGCGCUUGACUUCCCCUCUCCUGACAGCACGUUCGUUCCUUUGCAGCAGCACCUUUGGGGAGAGACGAGACCUGAACAAACGCUGGGGCCGGAUCCCCAGGGUGGGUCAGAACAGCCGUUGCCCUGAAAGCUGGCCCGGACAGAUGCGUGCGGGGCGUGCCACCGGAGCUCCCUCCAGCUUGCGUCUGGGGCCACCAUGUCCCUUCCUCAGGGCACUGGAUCCAUCUCUUCAAGCUCAGUGGUCCAGGCCAUGGUGGCAGAAUCACCCCCCAGGGUGUGACGCCUCGUCCCUGUCAAUUCCACACAGCUGCACCCGGAAGAGCUGUGGCCGGGCGCCGCUCUGACCUGUGUGCGGUCCCCUGAAUGGGUCUCGGGUGUCUUCAGAAUGGUGAGGCCGCCUCAUUUCCUCACCACACAACCCUCCUGAGAACGUUGCCUGCAAAUGGGCGGAAUUCCUAAUUUCUACCAUUCGGUUAAACGAGGGAUCCUUAAACCCCAAAGCUGGGAAAGCUGUCCGUUAAUUUAGUGUGCGUGGGCCGUCUCAGAACAGCAGGGUUCCCAGGAGUCCAGCGGGACAGGGGAGGGGAUGAGUGGCCGUGUCCCCCUGGCAGAGAAGGCCUUGUCUGAAGGCUACGCCCGCCUCCGGUACAGGGACACCUCCUUGCUCAUCUGGCAGCAGCAACAGCAGAAGUUGGAGUCGGUGCCACCUGGGACGUACCUGAGCAGGAGCCGAAGCAUGUGGUACUCACAGUAUGGAAAUGAGGCCAUCUUGGUCCGAGACAAAAACAAGCUCGAGGUCUCUAGAGACACAGGGCAGUCCAAGUUUUGCACAAUUAUGUGAUUCCGAUGUGAGCACCUGAACCCAGGACCACACUUUGAGGAAAACAGACCUGAGUUUCAUUCAGUUGUCUUGUUGAUUUCCAAUCCUUGCUGGAAGAUUUUGAAUAAUAAACGUGAAGAUCGAACUGUGGUGUAAGAACCCAAGAAGCGCAGAAUUGGCCCCCGAGCCCCUCAGCACAGCCGCGGUGUGACUGGUGCACAGGACACUUCCCCUCUAGAGUCCCCUCCGUGGUCAGCUGUUGUGACAUUUGAAUUCUCCAGCUGUGCAAGUUCAUUCGCAAACGUCCUAGAAGUGGAACUGCUGGGUCAAAGUGCAUUCCCCAAAUGUCCUGCCAGAGGCCUGGUCGGCAGCAGCCUCCUGCACAGCCCGAGUCCCUUCUGCGAGAGUCCGGGCUUGUUUGCAGCCUGCAGCUGGGAGAUU